CGGAUUUAUUGGGCGUAAAGAGCUCGUAGGCGGUUCAGCAAGUCGGGUGUGAAAACUCUGGGCUCAACCCGGAGACGCCACCCGAUACUGUUGUGACUUGAGUCCGGUAGGGGAGUGGGGAAUUCCUGGUGUAGCGGUGAAAUGCGCAGAUAUCAGGAGGAACACCGGUGGCGAAGGCGCCACUCUGGGCCGGUACUGACGCUGAGGAGCGAAAGCGUGGGUAGCAAACAGGAUUAGAUACCCUGGUAGUCCACGCCGUAAACGGUGGGCACUAGGUGUUGGCCUUUAUCAACGAGGUCCGUGCCGUCGCUAACGCAUUAAGUGCCCCGCCUGGGGAGUACGGCCGCAAGGCUAAAACUCAAAGGAAUUGACUGGGGCCCGCACAAGCAGCGGAGCAUGUUGCUUAAUUCGAGGCAACGCGAAGAACCUUACCUGGGUUUGACAUGCUGGGAAAAGCCGUAGAGAUACGGUGUCCUUCGGGGCCCAGCACAGGUGGUGCAUGGCUGUCGUCAGCUCGUGUCGUGAGAUGUUGGGUUAAGUCCCGCAACGAGCGCAACCCUUGUCCUAUGUUGCCAGCGGGUAAAGCCGGGGACUCGUAGGAGACUGCCGGGGUCAACUCGGAGGAAGGUGGGGAUGACGUCAAGUCAUCAUGCCCCUUAUGUCCAGGGCUGCAAACAUGCUACAAUGGCCGAUACAAAGGGCUGCUAUUCCGCGAGGAUGAGCGAAUCCCAUAAAGUCGGUCUCAGUUCGGAUUGGAGUCUGCAACUCGACUCCAUGAAGCCGGAGUUGCUAGUAAUCCCGGAUCAGCA
rnacentral:rRNA from 1 species